GUAACCAGCAGAACUUACCUUGAAAAAAGUCAUGGUUGCACCAUCCUCUACUGCUCCAUAUUCUAUCUUGGUUUGUUUAGCUAAAUCAUCAGCAGAGUCAAUAGGGGAUUCCAUGCGUUCCACUGUCAGAAAGGCGGCUAAGUUAGCAGUAUACGAAGAAAUGAUGAUAAGUGUGAAAAACCACCAAAUGCCUCCCACUAUCCUGGUGGACAGUGCUUUGGGCAUGAGCUCAGAACAUUGGGCUUGCGGUACAAAAUACUUAUUCCAAGUGUCAUAAAGGGCUUGGAAAAGUCGAUGACCUUCUCUCGAACAUAGGUAAUAGCCAGUGGAGCAACUGCAAGGUCAGCUU
rnacentral:lncRNA from 1 species